rnacentral:rRNA from 1 species
CAAUCAAACCGGGAGAUAGCUGGUUCUCCCCGAAAGCUAUUUAGGUAGCGCCUCGUGAAUUCAUCUCCGGGGGUAGAGCACUGUUUCGGCUAGGGGGCCAUCCCGGCUUACCAACCCGAUGCAAACUGCGAAUACCGGAGAAUGUUAUCACGGGAGACACACGGCGGGUGCUAACGUCCGUCGUGAAGAGGGAAACAACCCAGACCGCCAGCUAAGGUCCCAAAGUCAUGGUUAAGUGGGAAACGAUGUGGGAAGGCCCAGACAGCCAGGAUGUUGGCUUAGAAGCAGCCAUCAUUUAAAGAAAGCGUAAUAGCUCACUGGUCGAGUCGGCCUGCGCGGAAGAUGUAACGGGGCUAAACCAUGCACCGAAGCUGCGGCAGCGAACGUAUCACCCAAGACAACUUUACGGAGUUGACGAUUGACGGAGCGAAGCGACGUCAAAGCGUUCAUUAAAGUCGAGUUGGCUUAGGGAUACGUUCGUUGGGUAGGGGAGCGUUCUGUAAGCCUGUGAAGGUGUGUCGUGAGGCAUGCUGGAGGUAUCAGAAGUGCGAAUGCUGACAUAAGUAACGAUAAAGCGGGUGAAAAGCCCGCUCGCCGGAAGACCAAGGGUUCCUGUCCAACGUUAAUCGGGGCAGGGUGAGUCGACCCCUAAGGCGAGGCCGAAAGGCGUAGUCGAUGGGAAACGGGUUAAUAUUCCCGUACUUGGUGUUACUGCGAAGGGGGGACGGAGAAGGCUAUGUUGGCCGGGCGACGGUUGUCCCGGUUUAAGCGUGUAGGUGUGUGUUCCAGGUAAAUCCGGUUCACUUUAACACUGAGGCGUGACGACGAGGCACUACGGUGCUGAAGCAACAAAUGCCCUGCUUCCAGGAAAAGCCUCUAAGCAUCAGGUAACAUCAAAUCGUACCCCAAACCGACACAGGUGGUCAGGUAGAGAAUACCAAGGCGCUUGAGAGAACUCGGGUGAAGGAACUAGGCAAAAUGGUGCCGUAACUUCGGGAGAAGGCACGCUGACACGUAGGUGAAGUGAUUUACUCAUGGAGCUGAAGUCAGUCGAAGAUACCAGCUGGCUGCAACUGUUUAUUAAAAACACAGCACUGUGCAAACACGAAAGUGGACGUAUACGGUGUGACGCCUGCCCGGUGCCGGAAGGUUAAUUGAUGGGGUCAGCGUAAGCGAAGCUCCUGAUCGAAGCCCCGGUAAACGGCGGCCGUAACUAUAACGGUCCUAAGGUAGCGAAAUUCCUUGUCGGGUAAGUUCCGACCUGCACGAAUGGCGUAAUGAUGGCCAGGCUGUCUCCACCCGAGACUCAGUGAAAUUGAACUCGCUGUGAAGAUGCAGUGUACCCGCGGCAAGACGGAAAGACCCCGUGAACCUUUACUAUAGCUUGACACUGAACAUUGAGCCUUGAUGUGUAGGAUAGGUGGGAGGCUUUGAAGUGUGGACGCCAGUCUGCAUGGAGCCGACCUUGAAAUACCACCCUUUAAUGUUU